UACGUAGGGUGCAAGCGUUGUCCGGAAUUAUUGGGCGUAAAGAGCUCGUAGGCGGUUUGUCGCGUCUGCUGUGAAAUCCCAGGGCUUAACCCUGGGCCUGCAGUGGGUACGGGCAAACUAGAGUGCGGUAGGGGAGAUCGGAAUUCCUGGUGUAGCGGUGAAAUGCGCAGAUAUCAGGAGGAACACCGGUGGCGAAGGCGGAUCUCUGGGCCGUAACUGACGCUGAGGAGCGAAAGCUAGGGUAGCAAACAGG
rnacentral:rRNA from 1 species